AUUUUUGCAUAUGGAUCCUCCACUGCAAAUUACCAACGGUACAAGACGUGAAAAAAGAACCAACGGUCGUGGUUAUCGAUACGCUUUAACCUGUUGGAAGAAGUUCAUGAAAGCCGCUCGAAUUAAGAGAUGGAACAGGCUGCUGUCACACUUCUGAAUAAUGUUGAUCUUAAUGUUGAUGAUUACACCAUCAGAAUCCGCAUAGUCAGGCUAUGGACAAGACCUACUUUCAAUAAUCCUAGAAAGAUUUAUUGCUACGACAUGAUAUUCAUGGACCAGGAGGGUACGAAAAUGCAGGCCUUUGUUUUACAGAAAAACACUACUGGUUAUGAACAUUUGCUGAAAGAAAAUCAAUGUUUAACCAUUCGUAACCCUUCGAUGGGUGAAAAUCGUCAAAAAGUCAAAUAUGUUCAUA